AGUGUGCCCAGCAUGGUGGCUGGUGUAGAGCAGAUUCUUGGCAAAUGUUGGCUGGAUGAAUUUUUGCCUGGAGACUUCAGGUCAAUCACAAUUUUCUGGAAGUUCCGUCCUGUUGACUCAUCUUGUUCACAGAAGAAAAAGGUGUCAGUCUGUCUUUCUGCAUCAGUCGGAUCCUUGAGAUAUUUAAGAAACAAGGAGGUGAAGGCAUCAUGUCCAUUGCCUCCUCCCAUAAGAAGAGGUUAUGAAUUUAUUUUACUUCGACCCCUAAUUCAUUUCCACGGAGAUCAUGCUUACCAGUUGCUCUCGCCCGACUUCCUCUGCAGCCCUCCCGCCCCCUGCCCAUCCUCAAGGUUGUCGCCAUGGGAGGUCUCUUCUCACAACAGGGCAAAGCAAUUAAGGCCAGACGGGGCGAAUUAAACCAGAAAGAAUGAGUUUCCUCCAGCGCCAGAGAAAUAUUUGGGGCCUUGCUGCAGAGGAGAAACCAGUAGGAGAGAUGGACGGCAGCUGAGCGGGGAAGAUGGAGAUUGGUGGCACAGCAUCAGGGAGCAGGAAGGAGAAAAGAGAUGUACGCAUGCAAGAAGUGCGUGACUUUCCCUGGGCUGUCUCUGGGCCAAACGUUAAAGUGGAACGAGUAAGUGGAGGGAGAACGGUAGAACCAUUCAUUCACUCACUCACCCAUUCAUUCAUUCAUCUGUAAGUCAAACUUCGACCUCGCUGUUUGGAAUCCAAGGGCAGAUUGGAGACCGUAAUUAAUUGAUUAGAAGCAAGGGCUCUGGAAUGAAGUGGACAUGGCUGGUUCCAUCAUUCAUUAGUGGGGUAACCCUGAGCAAGAGACCUGACCCCCUGAGCCUCAGGUUCUGUACCACGGAAAUAAAAUGCAUUUGUUUUGCCA
rnacentral:lncRNA from 1 species